GGACCGUAGAUCCCGCUGCUUGCCAACAUCUUUGAGCUUCUGCAGCUCCGGAGGCUGGGGUCAAAGAAGAAACCAAGAGGGAAAUUUUUAACUGAACGUAAUGAAAAUACAACAUUUCAAAAUUUGUGGAAUGAAUCUCAAGUAGUGCUUUGAUGGAAAUUUAUAGAAUUAAAUGCUUAUUUCAAGAAGCAGGUAGGAAACUAUGUGAAAGAAUCUUCUGAUGUAAUAAUUUCUGGGUGUCACUGGAACAUUUGAUCAUCAUUCCUUUGGCAAUUCCAACCUUCUAUGGAAGGUCAGUAGAAGCAGUUGAUUUAUUCACCUCUACAGGAAUCAGACUCAGCCUAUUUUGGUUUUCAGUGAAUUAUGCCUUUUCAGUUUGGGACCCAGCCAAGGAGGUUUCCAGUGGAAGGAGGAGAUUCUUCAGCUGGGCUGGAAUCGGGGCUGAGCUCCAGUGCUGCCUGUAAUGGGAAAGAGAUGUCACCAACUAGGCAACUCCGAAGAUGCCCUGGAAGUCAUUGCCUGACAAUAACUGAUGUUCCUAUCACUGUCUAUGCAACAAUGCGAAAGCCACCUGCAAAAAGCAGCAAGGAAAUGCAUCCUAAAUAGCAUCAUUAAGCCUUUUGUAGAGGUUUGACUAGGUCAAGGGUAAUGGGCCAGUAUCAUCUUAUGAUCUGAUAAACAAAUAAAAGUGGUGGCACCUUUGGA